AGAGUUUGAUCAUGGCUCAGGACGAACGCUGGCGGCGCGCUUAACACAUGCAAGUCGAGCGAGAACCAGGACUUCGGUCCUGGGGACAGCGGCGAACGGGUGAGUAACACGUGGAUAACCUGCCCUCGGCACCGGGAUAGCCCGAGGAAACUCGGAUUAAUACCGGAUAGCCCUUCCGACUCUCGAGUCGGUCCGAAAAGGUAGCUUCGGCCUCUGGCCGAGGAUGGGUCCGCGGCGGAUUAGCUUGUUGGUGGGGUAAUGGCCUACCAAGGCUCCGAUCCGUAGCUGGUCUGAGAGGACGAUCAGCCACACUGGGACUGAGACACGGCCCAGACUCCUACGGGAGGCAGCAGUGGGGAAUCUUGCGCAAUGGGCGAAAGCCUGACGCAGCGACGCCGCGUGAGGGAAGAAGGCCUUCGGGUUGUAAACCUCUUUUAAGAGAGAAGAAGCUACUCGGGUUAAUAGCCCAGAGGGUGACGGUUCUCUGAAUAG
rnacentral:rRNA from 1 species